rnacentral:miRNA from 1 species
ACCUGCAUUGUACACACUGUGUG